AUUGAACGCUGGCGGCAGGCCUAACACAUGCAAGUCGAACGAUUGGCGGACGGGUGAGUAAUGUCUGGGAAACUGCCGGAUGGAGGGGGAUAACUACUGGAAACGGUAGCUAAUACCGCAUACCAUCAGAUGUGCCCCAAUGGGAUUGGCUAGUUGGUGGGGUAACGGCUCACCAAGGCGACGCUCCCUAGCUGGUCUGAGAGGAUGACCAGCCACACUGGAACUGAGACACGGUCCACACUCCUACGGGAGGCAGAAGUGGGGAAUAUGGCACAAUGGGCGCAAUCCUGAUGCAGGCAUGCCGCGUGUAUGAAGAAGGCCUGCGGGUUGUAAAGUACUUUCAGCGAGGAGGCGUUACUCGCAGAAGAAGCACCGGCUAACUCCGUGCCAGCAGCCGCGGUAAUUC
rnacentral:rRNA from 1 species